GGACUUGAGGAUGAUACAGCGGUGGCAUCCGUCAACCCACUGAUUGCCAGAGUCCACAUAACUGAUCUAGCUGGCUUGAUGUCUUCUCCCUCAAUCACCAUGAGGAAUCUUCUUGAAUUUUUCUGCCUGACCAGAGAGAAUAAUGUAUCCAAAUAGAGAAGGACUGUUCUUCAAUCAAAAGCAAACUAUCACAGGACUCCCUUGCAAGAAUCUUUGUAGCAGUUAAACCAUCACUGGCUUUUAAGAAGAAAAUAAGGAUGGCUAUGAGGGUAUUGAAAAUAUUUUUAGGGGAAAACAUUU
rnacentral:sRNA from 1 species